rnacentral:rRNA from 1 species
AUUGAACGCUGGCGGCAGGCCUAACACAUGCAAGUCGAGCGGAUGAAGGGAGCUUGCUCCUGGAUUCAGCGGCGGACGGGUGAGUAAUGCCUAGGAAUCUGCCUGGUAGUGGGGGAUAACGUCCGGAAACGGGCGCUAUACCGCAUACGUCCUGAGGGAGAAAGUGGGGGAUCUUCGGACCUCACGCUAUCAGAUGAGCCUAGGUCGGAUUAGCUAGUUGGUGGGGUAAAGGCCUACCAAGGCGACGAUCCGUAACUGGUCUGAGAGGAUGAUCAGUCACACUGGAACUGAGACACGGUCCAGACCCCUACGGGAGGCAGCAGUGGGGAAUAUUGGACAAUGGGCGAAAGCCUGAUCCAGCCAUGCCGCGUGUGUGAGGAAGGUCUUCGGAUUGUAAAGCACUUUAAGUUGGGAGGAAGGGCAGUAAGUUAAUACCUUGCUGUUUUGACGUUACCAACAGAAUAAGCACCGGCUAACUUCGUG